AACGAACGCUGGCGGCGUGCCUAACACAUGCAAGUCGAACGAAUGUAGCAAUACAUUAGUGGCGCACGGGUGAGUAACACGUGGCAAUCUGCCUCAUAGUUCGGAAUAACACCGGGAAACUGGUGCUAAUACCGGUUACGCCCUUCGGGGGAAAGUUUUUCGCUAUGAGAUGAGCCCGCGUUGGAUUAGCUAGUUGGUGAGGUAAUGGCUGACCAAGGCGACGAUCCAUAGCUGAUCUUAGAGGAUGAUCAGCCACACUGGGACUGAGACACGGCCCAGACUCCUACGGGAGGCAGCAGUGGGGAAUAUUGGACAAUGGGGGAAACCCUGAUCCAGCAACGCCGCGUGGAUGAUGAAGGUCUUCGGAUUGUAAAGUCCUUUUGGCGGGGACGAUGAUGACGGUACCCGCAGAAUAAGCUCCGGCUAACUUCGUGCCAGCCGCCGCGGUAA
rnacentral:rRNA from 1 species